GGCGUGUGCUCAGAACAGGGGCCUGAAGAACGGCUCCUCCAUUUACAACACACCCAACGGAAUCUGGGGUCAUUGUGAUGAGGGCACAAAAUUUGUGGCCUCCCUGUAAACAAAUUCCCCACAUGU
ensembl:snoRNA